rnacentral:rRNA from 1 species
UACGGGGGGGGCAAGCGUUGUUCGGAAUUACUGGGCGUAAAGGGCUCGUAGGUGGCCAACUAAGUCACACGUGAAAUCCCUCGGCUUAACCGGGGAACUGCGUGUGAUACUGGAUGGCUUGAGUUUGGGAGAGGGACGCGGAAUUCCAGGUGUAGCGGUGAAAUGCGUAGAUAUCUGGAGGAACACCGGUGGCGAAGGCGGCAUCCUGGACCAAUACUGACGCUGAGGAGCGAAAGCCAGGGGAGCAAACGGG